rnacentral:misc_RNA from 1 species
UCCCCAAAGGGGCAGUCCGGCCAGACACAGGUAACUGACCGUAGGGGUUGCGCUCGUUGCGGGGCUUAACCCAACAUCUCACGACACGAGCUGACGACAGCCAUGCAGCAUCUGUGGCCCACCCUCGAAGGCGACCGCCUUUCAGCGGCUUGCAGGGCCAUGUCAAACCCAGGUAAGGUUCUUCGCGUUGCAUCGAAUUAAUCCACAUGCUCCGCCGCUUGUGCGGGCCCCCGUCAAUUUCUUUGAGUUUUAACCUUGCGGCCGUACUCCCCAGGCGGGGUGCUUAAUGCGUUAGCUUCGGCACGGACGGGGUCGAUAUCCGCCCACACCUAGCACCCAACGUUUACGGCUAGGACUAC